AAAGUCGUAACAAGGUUUCCGUAGGUGAACCUGCGGAAGGAUCAUUAUUGAUUUUUAAAGAUGUGCUGGCCUUUACGGGUAUGUGCACUCUUAAAAAACCCAAUAUCCACCUGUGCACUUUCUGUAGGCAUGUUUGCCUAUGCAUUUUUUACACACACCAUGUUAUAUUUGAAUGCCUUUGAUUAACCAAUUGUAAAACAACUUUCAACAAUGGAUCUCUUGGUUCUC
rnacentral:misc_RNA from 1 species